UUGUAUUUUUUUAACACAUGAUUUUUGGGGUUUUACUUGUUCUAUAGAAAUGAAAUGAGAAUGAUGCAUAGUAUAGAAUUUGUAUUUAUGGUAUAUGCAUAACAUGCUGAAUUUUUAUAACUUAGCAUUGAAUUUGACUUAUUUUUGAAUGGUUUUGCAUAUGAUGUGAAUCUAUGUGCAUGUGCUAAAUUUUAGAAGUGAAUGGUAUGAAUUUAAGAUGACUUUUCAUGUGUAUUUGUAAAAGGCCAUGAUGCUAAACUUUGUUAUGUAAGUGCUGAAUUUUUAGAAGUGAAUGUAAUUUCUAAUUUGUUUUUAUUAUUUUCUUUGCAACAUGGUACAUGGUAAUGGAGCAUGAAAAAGCAUGGUCAAGAAUGGAGUAUGAAUGAAGAUUAUUGAAGAACUUGGAGUUAUUUUUAUUCUUUUGUGCAUGAAAACUAGGUAAUAUGCUUGUAAUGACAUAAAGUGAUGUAAAGUGAAGUUAUGUAAAUGUAAAGAUAAUAUUUAGUGAUUUUUGAACCUUAUGUAUAUGGAUUGAAAGACCAUGAAUAAA
rnacentral:lncRNA from 1 species